rnacentral:rRNA from 1 species
CCUACGGGAGGCAGCAGUGAGGAAUAUUGGUCAAUGGACGAGAGUCUGAACCAGCCAAGUAGCGUGAAGGAUGACUGCCCUAUGGGUUGUAAACUUCUUUUAUCUGGGAAUAAAAUGUUCCACGUGUGGGCUUUUGUAUGUACCCUAUGAAUAAGGCUCGGCUAACUCCGUGCCAGCAGCCGCGGUAAUACGGAGGAUCCGAGCGUUAUCCGGAUUUAUUGGGUUUAAAGGGAGCGUAGGGGGGUUUUUAAGUCAGUUGUGAAAGUUUGCGGCUCAACCGUAAAAUUGCAGUUGAAACUGGCAGUCUUGAGUACAGUAGAGGUGGGCGGAAUGCGUGGUGUAGCGGUGAAAUGCUUAGAUAUCACGAAGAACUCCGAUUGCGAAGGCAGCUCACUGGACUGCAACUGACACUGAGGCUCGAAAGUGUGGGUAUCAAACAGGAUUAGAUACCCGAGUAGUC